GUGCUAACUUGCGAGUACAUAUGCUAAAAUUAGAACAAUAAAAUAUAAGCAUGACUCCUGAACAAUGAUGGCAUGUAAAUUUGUGAAACAUUUCAUAUUUUU